UUUUUCGUCAUAGUUUUUUCUUUUCCUAUAGAAACCCAAAGUUGUCUCAGUAAAACUACAAUCCCAAACUUGUUAACCGUUGGAUUGUCGUGAAAUUUUGAUAUGUGGUUUGAGAUUAAUUUCCAAACAUUUUCACUGUUGGGGUUUGCAAAAUAAUGUUUGUGGAUGGAGAAAUACUCAUUACAUGUAGACAGUGGAAUGAAGGUUUCAAUCCCUUCUCAUCUCUCUAACGCUUGGAAACCUUAUCAGAGCAAUCAAAGG
rnacentral:lncRNA from 1 species